GAUGAACGCUGGCGGCGUGCCUAAUACAUGCAAGUCGAGCGAACAGACGAGGAGCUUGCUCCUCUGAUGUUAGCGGCGGACGGGUGAGUAACACGUGGAUAACCUACCUAUAAGACUGGGAUAACUUCGGGAAACCGGAGCUAAUACCGGAUAACAUGUUGAACCGCAUGGUUCAACAGUGAAAGACGGUCUUGCUGUCACUUAUAGAUGGAUCCGCGCCGCAUUAGCUAGUUGGUAAGGUAACGGCUAACCAAGGCAACGAUGCGUAGCCGACCUGAGAGGGUGAUCGGCCACACUGGAACUGAGACACGGUCCAGACUCCUACGGGAGGCAGCAGUAGGGAAUCUUCCGCAAUGGGCGAAAGCCUGACGGAGCAACGCCGCGUGAGUGAAGAAGGUCUUCGGAUCGUAAAACUCUGUUAUUAGGGAAGAACAAAUGUGUAAGUAACUAUGCACGUCUUGACGGUACCUAAUCAGAAAGCCACGGCUAACUACGUG
rnacentral:rRNA from 1 species